rnacentral:lncRNA from 1 species
GAGGGGAAGAAAAGCUGUGUUGCUUUGGGAGAAGCGAGAGGCUGUGCUCACAGAGGACAGACGCUUUCCUGAGGUGCUUCCAGAGGAAUUUCCCUGGUGCUGAGGCUCAGGGGCCCCUCGUCUUGGUGACCACCGUGGAUUUUUCCUGCCGGGAAGGCCAGGGAGCUGCUCUCCGUGGGGAAGCCCAGCAUUAAGGACGCUUUUUACCCUUAAUAAGCUCAUGCCAGAACUCCCGUAACUGCAGCCUGGAGGACGUGUUUUGUGAAGAUGAAAAAUGAACAUAUUAUUUACCUAUCAAUAGCAGGCCAGGCUGAUCAAUGCCGACCGGCACUGCCCCAGCGCGCCGGCAGCGGG